rfam:Lactobacillus buchneri CD034, complete genome.
CCACAGCUACAACCGCUCGAUUCAAGCUGAUAAGUCUUCGAUAGUGAUCGGAGCGCUUGUUCUCGGCGAGUCUAAGCAAACUU